GAUGAACGCUGGCGGCGUGCCUAAUACAUGCAAGUCGAGCGAAUGGAUUAAGAGCUUGCUCUUAUGAAGUUAGCGGCGGACGGGUGAGUAACACGUGGGUAACCUGCCCAUAUGACUGGGAUAACUCCGGGAAACCGGGGCUAAUACCGGAUAACAUUUUGAACCGCAUGGUUCGAAAUUGAAAGGCGGCUUCGGCUGUCACUUAUGGAUGGACCCGCGUCGCAUUAGCUAGUUGGUGAGGUAACGGCUCACCAAGGCAACGAUGCGUAGCCGACCUGGGAGGGUGAGAGGCCACACUGGGACUGAGACACGGCCCAGACUCCUACGGGAGGCAGCAGUAGGGAAUCUUCCGCAAUGGGCGAAAGUCUGACGGAGCAACGCCGCGUGAGUGAUGAAGGCUUUCGGGUCGUAAAACUCUGUUGUUAGGGAAGAACAAGUGCUAGUUGAAUAAGCUGGCACCUUGACGGUACCUAACCAGAAAGCCACGGCUAACUACGUGCCAGCCGCCGCCGUAA
rnacentral:rRNA from 1 species